rnacentral:rRNA from 2 species
CGAACGCUGGCGGCAGGCUUAACACAUGCAAGUCGAGCGCCCCGCAAGGGGAGCGGCAGACGGGUGAGUAACGCGUGGGAACGUACCUUUUGCUACGGAAUAACUCAGGGAAACUUGUGCUAAUACCGUAUGUGCCCUUCGGGGGAAAGAUUUAUCGGCAAAGGAUCGGCCCGCGUUGGAUUAGCUAGUUGGUGAGGUAAAGGCUCACCAAGGCGACGAUCCAUAGCUGGUCUGAGAGGAUGAUCAGCCACACUGGGACUGAGACACGGCCCAGACUCCUACGGGAGGCAGCAGUGGGGAAUAUUGGACAAUGGGCGCAAGCCUGAUCCAGCCAUGCCGCGUGAGUGAUGAAGGCCCUAGGGUUGUAAAGCUCUUUACACCCGGUGAAGAUAAUGACGGUAACCGGAGAAGAAGCCCCGGCUAA